rnacentral:rRNA from 1 species
CAGCCGCCACGGUAAUACGGAGGGGGCUAGCGUUGUUCGGAAUUACUGGGCGUAAAGCGCACGUAGGCGGCUUUGUAAGUCAGAGGUGAAAGCCCGGGGCUCAACCCCGGAAUUGCCUUUGAGACUGCAUCGCUUGAAUCCAGGAGAGGUGAGUGGAAUUCCGAGUGUAGAGGUGAAAUUCGUAGAUAUUCGGAAGAACACCAGUGGCGAAGGCGGCUCACUGGACUGGUAUUGACGCUGAGGUGCGAAAGCGUGGGGAGCAAACAGGAUUAGAUACCCCGGUAGUCCCUGUCUCUUAUAC